GCCUUUGUGGAUCAACGGUAGAUCGUCUCGUCCAUUGUGGUUAACUCAAUCCUGGAUUAUGAGAUCGCGGGGGUUCGAGUCCCCCCGAAGGCA